GAUGAACGCUAGCGGGAGGCUUAACACAUGCAAGUCGAGCGGGAUUAGCAGCAAUGCUAUGAGAGCGGCGCACGGGUGCGUAACGCGUAUGCAACCUGCCUUAUGCCGGGGGAUAGCCCAUGGAAACGUGGAUUAAUACCCCAUAGAACUGGAGAGCCGCAUGGUAAUUUAGUUAAAACUGAGGUGGCAUAAGAUGGGCAUGCGUCUGAUUAGGUAGUUGGUAGGGUAACGGCCUACCAAGCCGACGAUCAGUAGGGGUCCUGAGAGGGUUACCCCCCACACUGGUACUGAGACACGGACCAGACUCCUACGGGAGGCAGCAGUGAGGAAUAUUGGUCAAUGGGCGAAGAGCCUGAAACCAGCCAUCCCGCGUGCAGGAUGACGGCCCUAUGGGUUGUAAACUGCUUUUUGUGCGAGAAAUAAUAUGCCUUACGAGUAGGGUAAUGAAGGUAUCGUACGAAUAAAGCAAUCGGCUAAACUCCGUGCCAGCAGCCGCGGUAAU
rnacentral:rRNA from 1 species